rnacentral:rRNA from 1 species
UACGUAGGGUGCGAGCGUUGUCCGGAAUUAUUGGGCGUAAAGGGCUCGUAGGCGGUUUGUCGCGUCGGGAGUGAAAACACACAGCUUAACUGUGUGCUUGCUUCCGAUACGGGCAGACUAGAGGUAUGCAGGGGAGAACGGAAUUCCUGGUGUAGCGGUGAAAUGCGCAGAUAUCAGGAAGAACACCCGUGGCGAAGGCGGCUCUCUGGGACGGUACUGACGCUGAGACGCGAAAGCGUGGGGAGCGAACAGG